UGAGCUAAUCUGCCCUUCUCUUUGGAAUAAAGACGUUGGAAACGACGUCUAAUGCCGAAUACGACCUCCUUUCGCAUGAUCGGAGGUGGAAAGCUCCGGCGGAGAAGGAUGAGCUCGCGGCCUAUCAGCUAGUUGGUGUGGGUAAUGGCCCACCAAGGCGACGACGGGUAGCCGGCCUGAGAGGGUGACCGGCCACACUGGGACUGAGACACGGCCCAGACUCCUACGGGAGGNAGCG
rnacentral:rRNA from 1 species